GGACUCGGACAAAGCAGGUUACGCCAUAUUUUUAGUAGGGUAGCGUUAAAUUUUCUCCUCCCUCCUCCCCAAAAAUGGCAAAAUAGCUGGUGGAACGCCCAGCGGAGCUAUGGAGGGCGCUUCUGGGGAUGAUUACCCUGGUACGCAGGGCUCUAAUGUGUGUCUGCGAAGGCGAACGAGCUCCAGCGACAGAGACGACCGUGUGCGGGCGGUGACAGCCGCUCUGCAGUCCAGGUUCGGGCCCUACGAGCCGGUCCUGACCUACCUCCAGUCCGUCCUGGUGUGGGAAAGACCCGUCAUUGUGUGCUGCUCUACGCUGUGGUCAACGUUGUUUUCUGGUUCUUUGCCCUGACCUCAUUGCGACUACUGUUCCUGUUGGCUUCUGGACUGGCUGUGGUCGUCUUUCUCGAUGCCUGGAAAAAUAAGAUAUGGCCAGAAAUUAGAGUCAGAACCUCGGAAGAAUCAGAAAGUGAGAGCUGGGGUCUGGUGCAGCCUGGUGUCCUUAGCGUGCCUGA